ACGGGAGGCAGCAGUGGGGAAUAUUGGGCAAUGGGCGAAAGCCUGACCCAGCAAUGCCGCGUGAAGGAAGAAGGUCUUCGGAUUGUGAACUUCUUUUAUGAGGGACGAAGGAUUUGACGGUACCUCAUGAAUAAGCCACGGCUAACUACGUGCCAGCAGCCGCGGUAAUACGUAGGUGGCAAGCGUUAUCCGGAUUUACUGGGUGUAAAGGGCGCGUAGGCGGGGAAGCAAGUCAGAUGUGAAAUCCAUGGGCUCGACUCAUGAACUGCAUUUGAAACUGUUUCUCUUGAGUGCUGGAGAGGUAGAUGGAAUUCCUAGUGUAGCGGUGAAAUGCGUAGAUAUUAGGAAGAACACCAGUGGCGAAGGCGAUCUACUGGACAGUAACUGACGCUGAGGCGCGAAAGCGUGGGGAGCAAACAGGAUUAGAUACCCUGGUA
rnacentral:rRNA from 1 species